GUAGGUGGCAAGCGUUGUCCGGAAUUAUUGGGGCGUAAAGCGCGCGCAGGCGGUUCUUUAAGUCUGAUGUGAAAGCCCACGGGCUCAACCGUGGAGGGUCAUUGGAAACUGGAGAACUUGAGUACAGAAGAGGAAAGCGGAAUUCCACGUGUAGCGGUGAAAUGCGUAGAGAUGUGGAGGAACACCAGUGGCGAAGGCGGCUUUCUGGUCUGUAACUGACGCUGAGGCGCGAAAGCGUGGGGAGCAAACAGGAUUAGAUACCCUGGUAGUCCACGCCGUAAACGAUGAGUGCAAAGUGUUAGGGGGUUUCCGCCCCUUAGUGCUGCAGCUAACGCAUUAAGCACUCCGCCUGGGGAGUACGGCCGCAAAGGCUG
rnacentral:rRNA from 1 species